rnacentral:rRNA from 1 species
GACGAACGCUGGCGGCGUGCUUAACACAUGCCAGUCGAACGGUGAAGCGCCUACCUUUCUGGUGGGUGCGGAGGAGUGGCGAACGGGCGGGUAACAGGUGAGUAACCUGUGACCUACUUCUGGUUAACCUCGUGAAAGUGUGGGUAAAACGGGAUAUUCAGCGACUGUCGCCUGAAUGGCCUGUGACAGAUGCUGUGUAAGUGUGGGGUGGGGUGGGGGCCUAUCAGCUCGUUGGUGGGGUGAUGGACUAACAAGGCGACGAUGCGUAGCAGGCCUGAGAGGGGGAACGGCCACAUUGGAAAUGAGAAACGGUCGAAACUCCUACGGGAGGAAGCAGUGGGGAAUAUUGCACAAUGGAGGGAACUCUGAUGCAGCGACGCGGCGUGAACGAAGAAGGCUUUAGAGAAGUAAAGUUCUUUUAUAUGGGAAGAUAAUGACGGUACCAGAAGAAAAAGCCCCGGCUAACUACGUG